rnacentral:rRNA from 1 species
GACGAACCGUGCGAACGUUGUUCGGAAUCACUGGGCUUAAAGGGCGCGUAGGCGGCUCUGUUGGUCGUGGGUGAAAUCCCCCAGCUUAACUGGGGAAGUGCUUACGAUACCGCGGAGCUCGAGGGAGGAAGGGGCGGCCGGAACUGUCGGUGGAGCGGUGAAAUGCGUUGAUAUCGACAGGAACGCCGGUGGCGAAAGCGGGCCGCUGGCCCUCUUCUGACGCUGAGGCACGAAGGCCAGGGGAGCAAACGGG